rnacentral:misc_RNA from 1 species
GACAUUUUGAUGUAUCAAAAGAUCUUUUUACACAGGUCCAGGAGGCUGCAAGUGGAAGCAUUUUUGUCCAGAUGCCAGAUGUGUGGAUAAAUUUGGCACAUGUUUAUUUUGCUCAAGGCAAUUUUGCAUUAGCUGUGAAGAUGUAUCAAAAUUGUCUGCGCAAGUUCUAUUAUAAUACAGACUCUCAAAUUCUCCUCUAUUUGGCCCGUACACAUUAUGAAGCUGAACAGUGGCAGGACUGCAAGAAAACUUUACUAAGAGCUAUCCACUUGGCACCUUCAAAUUACAUACUAAGGUUUGAUGCAGGAGUUGCAAUGCAAAAAUUCUCAGCAUCUACACUACAAAAGACGAAGAGAACAGUAGACGAG